UUUCAGUUUCCAGUGGGUUGAGUACUCUCCCAGUGAAAAAUGAUAAAAAUAAAAUCACUUCUACAGAAUUACGUGCGAGAAAGCAAGACAUGUGUUACAACUUUGGACAUUCACUCAAACCCUCUUCACUCUCACCCUCCACUUCCAGCUCUCAUAUCACUCAAGCAUAGACCAUUUUUCUCAGAAAAACAGAUAUUGUGACAUCGCUCCAUUUCUUAGGUGGAGUUGGGAGUUCAGGAAGCACGAAAUUCAGUCAUCAACAUCGCUGUAAACUUGUUUGGAGUACAGGAUUGAGGUGUUUCCAACCAUGGUUGAUCACGGGGAAGCCACAAAUAUACUGUGCAUCGCAUUCGUUGCAGCGAUACUUCUCGCCAUGAUGGCAUACAGUCUAUUUUGGUGCGGAAUUUGCGUUCGAUCUGCAACACUAAGGCCAAUUGAUAUAGCAAGAGCUCCACUACUGAGGUACCUUGAUGCAUCUGGAAUUCGGGGUUUUCGGUAUAGAACUGGAGAAGAUGACCCUUUUCUCGUUUAGAGAGGAGGUCAUGUGGACAUGCAAGGGCGACUGUGUAUCCAUCUAGCAAGCAUGAAGUUUUUCCUUUUUUCCAGAAAAAAAGCCUUGUAAUAAGCCUGGUAAUUAGGGUAACUUUUUGAAUAAAGACUAGCGUUAUAAUUCA